GGGGCUGCGCGCGGGCGCUCACGGCCGGCUGGAGGUGCCCGGCGAUCGGCCCCGCUGGAGCGGGGGACACUCACCGAGCGGCUGGAGAGUCUUUUCCGGGAGCUCCGGCUGAACAUGGCCGGGCGCCUCCUGCUUGCAGCGCUGUCCGUCGGCAAUACAGUUACAGCAGGAACUUGAAGAGAUCCUCAUACACAAUUGUCAACACGGGAAGACGCCUUUGCUGUAACCUAAGGUGGAAAAACAAAACCCGAACAGACUGUUCGCCUGUAAUUGGUCCUAAAAUAUGCAUUAAGAAACUGGAAAGAAAUAUGUAACAUGUUAAAAUUCUACUGUUUGCAGAGUAAUUCAAAAGUAUUAUAUUGGGACUCAAACCUCACAGUGAGGUCAGAAAAGGAAACAAACAUUUGCUGAAGCUGUGUGACUUCCCUGACAUGUAUGCUGAGUGCUCCACUGGAUUGUCUGAAUCUGACCUGCAGACAAGAGAAGGUAAAGAGUCAGUGAGGAGUGGUAGACAUAUUUUCCCCCAGUUUCAUUGCCACAAGCUUGGGACAUGGCCUCCUUUACUGCAAGAGAACUGUGAAGCAUCAACUAGCUUUGUGCCUGAGAAGAGCAGAAGUGCAGACAUGCAUGAGCCCUUGGGCAUCUUUGUCCCAGUGGCCUUAUCAGAACUGCAAUACUAUCUCAAACUGUAUUCCUUGUAUUCCUAGUAGAACUAGCCAGGCUUCUAAAGAACAUAGCCCUACUUUUGAUUAGGCCUCAGAGAUGUUAACUCUUGUUCUUGGUAAGGGUUGACUCAGAUGCAGAAACUCUGAUAACAGUUAACUACUUCACUUGAAAGAGAAAGCCUCAUAUGACAUUCAUCUCAUCGGUGGCAAACUGCAUGAAAAAGUGAUUCUGUUUUUAUAUUCGAAAUCAGGAGUUGGCAUUUUUUUCUGUACAGGGUCAGACAGGCAAUAUUUAAGGCUUUGUGGCUCACACAGUCUUUAUUGCAACAACUCAACUCUGCAAUUGUAGUACAAAAGUGCCAUAGAUGAAGGAGCGUGACAGUGUUUCAACAAAGCUUUAUUUACAAAAGCAGGCGAUAGGUGCAGUUUGAUCCAGCAUAGUUUGCUGGCUCUUGCUCUAAGUCUUUCACCAGGUUCUCUUCACUUCCUAGCAGACUCACCCUUCUCUUCUUCCUGUCUUCUCCAAAAAGGAAUGGUAUAAAGCAAAAUGGAAAUGUUGGUGUAUGUAGAGAGCCAACAGUUUGCAGUGCUAAGCACUUUACUCAAGUUAAUUUAAUUCUCACAACCCCUUGAGUAAGAUUUUUAUGGUUGCCCAUUUACAGAUAAGGAAGCUGACAGAGAGAUUACAUGAUCAGGUUUAGCUCAUGCAGAGGCUAAGAUUCUAAGUGUGAUGGUAUAAUUCACUAUAAG